CCCACACAUACUGCAAGACAUAGAUACAUUAAACAUGGCCAGAGGAAUACUCUGCAUAUGGAGUCUAAUCUACAUGAUAAACGAUCAUUUCGAGAUGACAUUCUUUAUUACAGCCGCUGAGGAACAAAAGCCGACUGCUGAGGUGAAAGGGAUCUGAAAACUGUUCCAGUGACUACAAAGCAAUAGCGAGGCCUCAAGGGACAAAGCUCUUCGCUAGCUGAUGGUUCAGCAAAUUUGUUACCGACAGAGGUUAUGUCAACAUAAGCAGAGCUGUUUUUAGGAGAGGCAGACGAAUGGGCCCAUGGGAACCUAUCAGAACAUGGUGACAAAAAAUAGCCGGUCUCUGGGGCCACACUUAGACUGAAGUGAGAGGACAUGAUCUCCUGGUUUUCAAAACAUGAGAUCAGCUGCUUUCUUGAGUCAAGUCUUUAUCUCCACCAUCUGCCACUGUG